CCCCUAGAUGUUCUGGGCCGCACGCGCGCUACACUGAACAGUUCAACAGGUCUUAACCUUGGCCGAUAGGUCUGGGUAAUCUUUGAACGCUGUUCGUGAUUGGGAUAGACCUUUGCAAUUAUGGGUCUUCAACGAGGAAUUCCUAGUAAACGCAAGUCAUCAGCUUGCAUUGAUUACGUCCCUGCCCUUUGUACACACCGCCCGUCGCACCUACCGAUUGAAUGGUCCGGUGAAGCCUCCGGAUUGGCGCGCACCUCGGUGCCGCCGAGAAGUUGGCUAAACCUUACCAUUUAGAGGAAGGUGAAGUCGUAACA
rnacentral:rRNA from 1 species